rnacentral:ncRNA from 1 species
UCAUGCAUGAGCCGGUGCCCAUCCUCAACUCUUCUCGUUCCUCCAUUGAAGAUGGAGGUGACGACAAGAGGAGGGGAUGUGGCUGAGAUUAUACGGCAAAACUUGAUCUGGAUAAUACCAGCGAAAGGAUCAUGUCCUCCUCCCUA